CGGUAUCUGCAUGGGCACGCCCGGGGGAAAGGCCUCACCCAAUGGGACCGUUCGCCGAGGCCUUCAUUAGCAUGCCGGGGGCGGGGAGGGGCGGGGCGGCCGGCGGGGGCGGGCUGCGGGCGGUUGGUUGGAGCGUCGCGCAGUCGGGAGGUCCGGGAAAGUUUCUUUGGAGGUCCGGCCCGGAGCGGCCAUGUCCCACGGCCCCAAGCAGCCCGGCGCGGCCGCCGCGCCGGCGGGCGGCAAGGCUCCGGGCCAGCAUGGGGGCUUCGUGGUGACUGUCAAGCAAGAGCGCGGCGAGGGUCCACGCGCCGGCGAGAAGGGGUCCCACGAGGAGGAGGUGAGUCCCUGCGCUGAGCUGGGGGAGGCCCCGGGCUCCCGCCCCAGCCUUGAAGCCCCGCCCCAGGCUGGAUUUGAAUUGCUUGUGGCUCCGCCCACAGCCCAGAUUUUCCUCCGGAAGCUGAGACCCCGCCCCGUGCGAGCUGCCACGCCCCUGACAGGUCCUCUGCCACUCUAAGUCCAGGCCCCGCCCACCACACAAUGCCAGCUCUGCCCACUAUAAGGUCCCGCCCACUUCCACUCCUUGGGGGCGGCACCCUCCCCUUGGUCCUGUGGGCCGGUUCUCCAGCAAAAACCACGCCCACCAGGCAGAGGCCACGCCCACAACCGAAGUCAACACCACCCCUGUGCUCAAACCUCGGCCUAUAGUUCCUCAGAUCCCCUCACCCCUGGCCAGGGAUCCCUCAAACCCACCGUGUCCUGACUGCUGACCGGGCCCUACCUCCAUCUUUUCCGGGUUCUUCCUCCC
rnacentral:sRNA from 1 species